GACGAACCGUCCAAACGUUAUUCGGAAUUACUGGGCUUAAAGGGUGCGUAGGCGGCGCGGAAAGUUGGGUGUGAAAUCCCUCGGCUCAACCGAGGAACUGCGCCCAAAACUACCGUGCUCGAGGGAGAUAGAGGUGAGCGGAACUUAGGGUGGAGCGGUGAAAUGCGUUGAUAUCCUAAGGAACACCCGUGGCGAAAGCGGCUCACUGGGUCUCUUCUGACGCUGAGGCACGAAAGCUAGGGUAGCAAACGGG
rnacentral:rRNA from 1 species